AUGGAAGUAACAGUGGCAACCUGGGCCGCUGUGAGCCUUGUUUUGGCUAGCAUAGUAACAAGAUGGGUGUGGGGUAUUCUGGAUCGGUUGUGGUUUAAGCCAAAGAAGCUAGAAAGAUAGCUAAGAGAGCAAGGCCUCAAAGGCAACACCUACAGGUUCAUGUAUGGAGACUUGAAGGAGAACGCCAACCUUCUUGAACAAGCAUCAUCUAUACCCAUGAACCUCUCAACCUCCCAUGACAUAGUACCACGAGUCACCCCUCUUGACGAUCAAACCCUGAAAACUUACGGUAAGGACUCUUUUGUGUGGAUUGGGACCUCACCAAUGGUUCACAUAAUGAAUCCGGAAGAUGUGAAACUUAUCCUCACAAAAAUGGAUAGUUUUCCGAAACCAGAACCAAGCCCACUUAUUAAGUUGCUAGCACAAGGUAUUGCAGCCUAUGAAGGAGAGAAAUGGGUUAAGCACAGAAGAAUUAUCAACCCUGCAUUCCAUGUGGAGAAGCUAAAGCGUAUGUUACCAGCAAUCCACGAAAGUUGUAAUGAUAUGAUCAAGGAAUGGGAGAGCUCAGUGUCUAAAGGGGGUUCAUUAUGUGAGUUGGAUGUCUUCCCUUCUCUUCAACAUUUAACAGCCGAUGUGAUUUCUAGAACAGCAUUUGGGAGUAGCUAUCAAGAAGGGAGGAAAGUAUUUGAACUCCUAAAAGAACAGACAGGAUAUGCAUUAAAAGCCGUACUUUAUAUUUCUGUUCCAGGAUGGAGGUUUGUACCAACUAAGAUGAACAGGAGGAUGAAGCAAAUUGACAAAGAAAUAAGAGGUUUACUCAAGGGUAUUAUAGCUAAAAGAGAGCAGGACAUCAAGGCAGGUGAAGCCACUAAAGAUGAUCUAAUAGGAGCACUUCUUGAGUCUAGCUUGAACGAUAUCCAGGAGAAUGGGAAGAACAACAAAAAUGUUGGGAUGAGUAUUGAAGAGUGUAGGCUGUUUUACUUUGCUGGGCAAGAGACCACUUCAGUGUUGCUGGUUUGGACGAUGAUUUUACUUGCUCAAAAUCAGGAUUGGCAAGACCGAGCAAGACAAGAGGUUCUGCAAGUCUUCGGAAGCAACAAGCCAGACUACGAUGGCCUAUCUCAUCUGAAAGUUGUAACUAUGAUUUUACAUGAAGUUCUUCGACUAUACCCACCACUGGUUGAGAUGUCUCGAACCGUUCCCACGAACACACAGCUUACAAAAGUCUUAUUGCCAGCUGGAGUCGAUGUAGGCUUACCAACACUGCUCAUUCACCAUGAUAAGGAACUGUGGGGUGAUGAUGCAAACGAGUUCAAGCCAGAGAGGUUUUCUGAAGGAGUUUCUAGGGCAACAAAGAACCGAUUAUCAUUCUUCCCCUUCGGUGCCGGUCCUCGGAUCUGUGUUGGACAGAACUUUGCCAUGAUAGAAGCGAAACUGGCCUUAUCAUUGAUCUUGCAACACUUCACCUUUGAGCUUUCUCCAUCUUAUACUCAUGCUCCUUUCUCACGUAUAAUUAUUCAACCCCAACAUGGUGCUCCUAUCAUUUUACACAAGCGUUAA